GGGGAUAUAGCUCAGUGGCAUAGCAUCUGCCUGGCAAGCACAAGGUCCUGAGUUUGAUUCCCAGUUACCCCA
rnacentral:tRNA from 1 species